rnacentral:rRNA from 1 species
UACGUAGGUCCCGAGCGUUGUCCGGAUUUACUGGGUGUAAAGGGUGCGUAGACGGGAUAACAAGUUAGUUGUGAAAACCCUCGGCUCAACUGAGGAACUGCAACUAAAACUAUUAUUCUUGAGUGCAGGAGGGGAAAGUGGAAUUCCUAGUGUAGCGGUGAAAUGCGUAGAUAUUAGGAAGAACACCAGUGGCGAAGGCGACUUUCUGGACUGUAACUGACGUUGAGGCACGAAAGUGUGGGGAGCAAACAGG